UACGUAGGGGGCGAGCGUUGUCCGGAAUCAUUGGGCGUAAAGCGCGUGUAGGCGGCCCGGUAAGUCCGCUGUGAAAGUCCAGGGCUCAACCCUGGGAUGCCGGUGGAUACUGUCGGGCUCGAGUCCGGAAGAGGCGAGUGGAAUUCCUGGUGUAGCGGUGAAAUGCGCAGAUAUCAGGAGGAACACCAAUGGCGAAGGCAGCUCGCUGGGACGUGACUGACGCUGAGGAGCGAAAGCGUGGGGAGCAAACAGG
rnacentral:rRNA from 1 species